AGAGUUUGAUCCUGGCUCAGAUUGAACGCUGGCGGCAUGCUUUACACAUGCAAGUCGAACGGCAGCGCGGGGCAACCUGGCGGCGAGUGGCGAACGGGUGAGUAAUAUAUCGGAACGUACCCAAGAGUGGGGGAUAACGUAGCGAAAGUUACGCUAAUACCGCAUACGAUCUACGGAUGAAAGUGGGGGAUCGCAAGACCUCAUGCUCCUGGAGCGGCCGAUAUCUGAUUAGCUAGUUGGUGAGGUAAAGGCUCACCAAGGCGACGAUCAGUAGCUGGUCUGAGAGGACGACCAGCCACACUGGAACUGAGACACGGUCCAGACUCCUACGGGAGGCAGCAGUGGGGAAUUUCGGACAAUGGGCGCAAGCCUGAUCCAGCAAUGCCGCGUGAGUGAAGAAGGCCUUCGGGUUGUAAAGCUCUUUUGUCAGGGAAGAAACGGCUGGGGCUAAUACCUUCGGCUAAUGACGGUACCUGAAGAAUAAGCACCGGCUAACUACGUGCCAGCAGCCGCGGUAAUACGUAGGGUGCAAGCGUUAAUCGGAAUUACUGGGCGUAAAGCGUGCGCAGGCGGUUUUGUAAGUCUGACGUGAAAGCCCCGGGCUCAACCUGGGAAUUGCGUUGGAGACUGCAAGGCUUGAAUCUGGCAGAGGGGGGUAGAAUUCCACGUGUAGCAGUGAAAUGCGUAGAGAUGUGGAGGAACACCGAUGGCGAAGGCAGCCCCCUGGGUCAAGAUUGACGCUCAUGCACGAAAGCGUGGGGAGCAAACAGGAUUAGAUACCCUGGUAGUCCACGCCCUAAACGAUGUCUACUAGUUGUCGGGUCUUAAUUGACUUGGUAACGCAGCUAACGCGUGAAGUAGACCGCCUGGGGAGUACGGUCGCAAGAUUAAAACUCAAAGGAAUUGACGGGGACCCGCACAAGCGGUGGAUGAUGUGGAUUAAUUCGAUGCAACGCGAAAAACCUUACCUACCCCUGACAUGUCAGGAACCUCCGAGAGAUUGGAGGUGCCCGAAAGGAGCC
rnacentral:rRNA from 1 species